UAGGGAAUCUUCGGCAAUGGACGAAAGUCUGACCGAGCAACGCCGCGUGAGUGAAGAAGGUUUUCGGAUCGUAAAACUCUGUUGUUAGAGAAGAACAAGGACGUUAGUAACUGAACGUCCCCUGACGGUAUCUAACCAGAAAGCCACGGCUAACUACGUGCCAGCAGCCGCGGUGAUACGUAGGUGGCAAGCGUUGUCCGGAUUUAUUGGGCGUAAAGCGAGCGCAGGCGGUUUCUUAAGUCUGAUGUGAAAGCCCCCGGCUCAACCGGGGAGGGUCAUUGGAAACUGGGAGACUUGAGUGCAGAAGAGUAGAGUGGAAUUCCAUGUGUAGCGUUGAACUGCGUAGAUAUAUGGAGGAACACCAGUGGCGAAGGCGGCUCUCUGGUCUGUAACUGACGCUGAGGCUCGAAAGCGUGGGGAGCAAACAGG
rnacentral:rRNA from 1 species